UCAAGGAAUGCCUUAGAAGCAAUUUCGUUCUCAUGGAGGAGCAAAGGAAGGCAAGUUCGCUCCAAUUGAGGAGCAAUGGAAGUGUACUUCGCUCCUAUUGAGGAGCAAAGGAAGUGACUUUAAAUCACCAUCUCCAUCUGUUCAUUAUCAAAAUCAUGAUGAAUUUGACUCCUUCAAUGAUCAAAACGAGGUUGCAUUAGUUGAAGUUCAUCAAAUUACCCUUAAGUAUGCAAAGGAAGCCAAAUUCACUCCUAGGAAAGAGCAAAGGAAGACAAAUUUGCUCGUAGGAAGGAGCAAAGGAAGUGACCUCUUACUUAGUCAAAUUCAAGGUUGCUGGUUGAGAAUUGAGUUCAUUGCUUAACAAAGGGCAUCAUAUGAUGAUCAAAGGUGGUUUUAGACUUUAUAGAAGGUGAGGGGAGGAAGUUCGUUCCUAAAGUGGAGCAAAGGAAGUACACUUCGCUCUUUAGGAAGGAGCAAAGGAAGUGGAAUUCGCUCCUAGGAAGGGGCAAUGGAAAUUUUCAUAUACUUGGUUAAAUUUUGCCCCUGUGCAACCUACCUUUCAACAAAGUGUAAUUAACCCUCUUGGAUGACAAGGAAAUCUUGUAUAAUCGGCGAAACUUCAUCCAAGGGAUUCGUAUAUCAAACCUCCUCACUAGUCUUGUUUGAAUUGAUACCUAUCUCACAUCACCUCAAUUCACAUCUCACAUUUUGCUUCUAUGAGGUCAAGGAAGUGCUACCAAUGCCUUGGAAGAGCAAAGGAAGUCAGUGUCAAUGCCAUUGAAGAGCAAAGGAAGUGAUUGUUAGUGCCAUUAAAGAGUAAAGGAAAUUUUCCUAUACUUGGUCAAAUUUUGCCUAAGACACCUCAUUUAACAUCUUACAAGCCAAUGAUGAUGAUCCAAUGGAAUGAUCAUCAUAUAAUCAUUCAUUUCCUAAGCUUUGACAACUGACUAACUUCACUUAAUCAAGAGAGAGAGACUUGACUUGAUUUCCUCUUGAACAUCUGAGAAACUACACCUCUUCAACACAAAGGCUAAUAGCAAAGACUCUACCACUAUACUAGAAAGCAAAAAAAGUGGGGGGUCCCCAUUUGCAAUGGGGCGAUGUGUGAAAACGUCACAACAAACCCGACAAUGGAAAUUGUCCACAAUUGCCUGAGAAAUUUUAGAGGCCACAACCUGAGUAGACAAAGAGGUGUUUCUAAAGACAUGAUUGUUUCUCUCUUUCCGAAUCCUCGAUGCCACAUGGUGAAGGUAGAGAGACCACAUAAACAAAAGGGUAGAGAUAGAAGUGGGGGGAACCCACUGCGCCCACAAAUCAGCAAGGGAGGAGAGGAAGGCCCAAGAAAUGUUCCAAAGAGCAAAAAAGUGAGGCCAAAUAUACCCCACAAAAGAACAGUCUAAGAUGAGAUGAGGAGCAGUCUCAUAGUUAUCACAACAUAAAAAAAAAUCUAUUGUCUAUAGUUAAGCCCCUUUUGCAAAGGUUGUUCAAAGUAAGGAUUUUUGGUUGAAGGAGGAUCCAAAAAAUGAUAUUAAUUUUAGGGAUCAGUUUGGAGUUCUGAACCCCACCUAAAAAGGAGGGUGGUGAUUGAAAGAAGACAAAAAGCCAAAAGUAGAGGAAAUAGAAAAGUUGCCAGAAGACGAAGCGGCCCAGAUAAGAACAUUGUCAACAGAGUGAUCUGAAGACAACCUGAUCAAAUUCAAGCUGCAUUGUAGACUGCCAAGCUCCCCACUAAUCUCAUUAAGAUCUCUCCAUCGGCCAUCUUGAAAGUAAUCCUUAAUUCGUGUUGUGAGGUUUUCACACAUUGCCCCAUUGCGAAUGGGGAUCCCCUACUUUUUAGGCCCUUCCGGUCUUUUGGCUUUGUUUUUGUGUCUUUUCGCAGCAGUCUCGUCAGUCUCUCUGCUUUGUGAGUGUUCGGAGGUCAAAUUGAUCAAGUUUGCUUUUUGUUUGAGCGAAUUUGGUUAAGUCUAGGGCUUGUCCUGUCAAUUUUAGGGUUUCUGUCUUUAGUCCUAGAUUUUAGGGGUUUCUGUUAGGGUUUUGAAAAAAAUGAACAUAUCAUUGGAAUCAGGAUCCUUCAAGGAACCUCCCAAUAAAAUUUGAGCCAAAACGGUCCUAUUUUUUAGGGAUUUCACUGAGUCCUAGAAUGUCUUCAUUUUGCCAAAAAUCAAAAUUAUCAUUUUUAGUAAGUUUCUAUUUUUAGUAAGUGCCUUCCUGAUCUAUUUUGUCCAAACCCUAACAUUUUGAAGCACUUACUAUUUGGGAAAAUCUAUUUUUGGCAGGUUCUUCAUAGGAAAAUACUGAAAACUGAACAUCCCUAAGGAUGCUGAAGACUGAACAUUCCUGAAGAUCAUUUCUAAAUCCGGAAGAGUCAGAAGGCAGACAAGUGUGAUCAAAGUUUGGCCAAGUAUGGGAACCAAUCCAAGAAUGGAAAGCUCGAAAAAUCAUCUGAGUCUGGAAAUUCACAUCAAUCUACAAAUGUCAUCGUGAUCCAGAAAUGGCCUGAAAUUUGACUGUCUGAAAAAUUAAAAAAUCUUCUAAAACCUAGAAUUUGCAUUAUAAUGCCUAGAGAUCUGAAACCACUCUCAAACAUCCUGCCAAUAUAUAUGAAAUAUAACUCAAAGCAUAAGAAAGGAAAAAGACAUAUAUUUCAUAUAUAUAUGUUCUGAUGAAGAGAAUGAGACGGACUUGGUAGAAAUCAUCAAAUUCCUCCACAAGCAUGGAAAUCCGCCCAGGGAAGGAUGAAGGCGCCAAAGUUAGUAGUCAGGGAAGGAUGAAAAAAAGUGUGAAUUCCUCCACCUAUGCAAAAAUAUGCCCUAGACUAGAGGAGGGCACUAAAAUGAACUGUUCAUGGAAAGAUUGAAAAACGAGAAAUUCCUCCUUGAGAAAUAGCGCCCAAAGGUAAAAGGUCUUGGAAAACAUGAAAAAACAUGAAAUUCCCUUCUCAAGCCAAAAUCCUGCCCAAGAAAGUCAAAGGGCGUCAAAACAUGGUCAACAAGGAGAGUGGAAAAAAGUGUGAAUUCCAUGCCUUAGGCAAAAAUCCGCCCAAGACCAAGGGAGGGCGCUAAAAUGAACUAGCCAAGGAGAGAUGGAAAAAUCAUGAAUUCCAUGACCAAGGUGAAAAUGCGCCUAGGCAAGGUAGAAAGGCGCUGGGGAAGAGUAGUCAUGGAGAAGCCAAAAAAACAUAAAUUCUGCCCUAGGGAAUAGUAGGGCACCAAAUGGAGGGGAUGAAGGAAAAUGUUAAAAAACAUGAAUUCCUCCCUCAAUGAAGAAUAGUGCCUAGCAGUGAAGGAGGGGGCCAAAACACACAAGGCAUGAAAAAUGGAGAAAGUUUGAAAUUACAUAGCAGUGAAGAAUCAAUGCCCUGGUCAAGGAAAGGUAUUGAAAUGGCUAAGGCAAGGAUGAAAUGAUGAACUCCACCAUGAAGAGUGAGUUCCAUGUCUAAGUUGGAAAACGUAAAAUUUGUCUAAGGCAUGAAAAUCCAAGGGUCAAAGAGGAAUGAAAAACAUAAAUCCCCUCGGGAAAUUUUUUAAAAUUUCCAUUUUCAUUUUUAGACACCAAACCUUAUUAGAAUCCAUAAAUUUUUAUAGAUUUGGAAUCGUAAGAGAUUUCUCUCUCUCCUGGACUCGAGACCUAAAUUUGAGGAAAGUCCCUAAAAAAUAGGAGAUGGUGGAAAAACGUUGAAAAUCUCUCCCAGAGCAAGGAAAGUUCGAAAAACUUCAAGAAAAAUCACCAUGGAUCAAAUUCUUCUCUCUUGAAGUUUUCUCUCUCGAAGGUUUUGUCGCCAAGUGGUAGCCGAGUCAAUGCACGUUGAAUUAAUGAAGCAUCUCUUUGCAUGCAGUCGUCACAUAUAUGGCAUUAUGGCAGAUUCCUUUUGCAUGCAGUCGUCACGUUCAGGAGAUGAUGGUGCAUUUAUGACAUCAUGGGCGAUUUUUGCAUGAGGGUACAUUCAUUGCAUAGUGGGCACUUUUUGAAUGUAAUGGUUAAUUAAUGCUUUAUGGGUGCCAUUUUUGGUAGGAUUGUAAUUAAUUGUACAUGGGCUUUAUGGGGUAUUUAUUGCUGAUUCCCACCUUGUUGCAUCUUGAGUGGAGACUCUUUUAGGGAAAACCCUAAUUAGGGUUUUGCAUGUAAUCAUGGCUUGAGGCCUAUAUAAAAGGGAUACCCACUCAUUUGUAAAGAGAGGGAGACUUAUAUGAAAUUGUUGCGAGAAGUUUUGAGAUAAUAAGAGUGAAACAUUGUUCUUUGAUGGUGUCCGCUUACGGUUAUUUUUUCAAAGGUUGCAUGGUUUCACCUUCCUCACUUAGAGUAGAAGUAGUAUAGUGCUUUGAUUUCAAUGGAAAAUAUGAUGGUGUUUGAUGAAUUUCCAUGGUUCAUACUUUUGUCAUCUUGUUUACUAUAAGAUGUGUAAAGUUAGCUUGAAGCCCUAAAUUUGUGCUAAGUUCGAUUGUGGACAGUUGUUUGGAUUGCGUCGUUUUUGGGUAUUCAAAUGCACUUUCUCAAUUUGAAAAUCCUCUAGCAUCCCCAAAAGAUUGCACCGGUUCUUGCAGAGUUGUAGUUUAUCUUGGCGAAGCAGAGCUUGGUUUAUUUGGAAUUUGUCCACCAGAGCACUAUUCAUUGUUUACAAACCUGAUCCCAUGGAACCUGAAGUCUAGCCAUUGCUUUUCGUAGAGUUUUUAAGUGGGAUUUUUUAAUUGCUAAAUUGCUAUUUAUAUCCCCUCAAGUUUACUAAGCAUUGGUCAGUUUAACAAGUCUCAUUUUAUGUGAAUCGCCUAGUUUGUUUAGUUGCAUUUUAUAUCAAUAAUAAGUUUUUAGUUUACGUUUUUUAGUUGUUUUUUUGGACCGCAAACCUCAAAAACAACAGUGGCUCUAUUACUGCUCUGUUGUUUGUCAAUUCAGAUUUAACACAUUCUCUGAGUUGUCAGCAAGCAAUAGAUAGAAUUGGAGAGCUAUAAGCAGGUAUUUUUGAACAGUCAAAUUUGGACAAGUCUCAUUUAAUGUGCAUCAUCUAAUUUGUUUAGCUGCAUUUUAUAUCACUGAUAAGUUUUUAGUUUAGGUGUUUUAUUUGUUAAAUUCGGACUGUAAACCUCAGAAAAAUAAACAGUGGCUCUAUUACUGUUCUGUUCUGUUUUUUUUCAAUUCAGAAUUAAUACAUUCUCUGCAGUUGUCAGGAAGCAAUAGACAGAAUAAGGAGAGCUGUAAGCAGGCCUUGCUGUGUCUAGAGGAGAGGUUACAAUGGAGAACUAUUUCUUUGUGAGCUUUCUAUGGAUAGAUUUGGCUGGGUUGAAUAGGUGAUUCAAAAAGUUCAGGCCUUGUUCACUGUGUCCGGAGAAGGCUACAACGGAGAUAUGUGUGUUGAUGGAGCUUGUGAGAACAAAGAAGUUCAUGUUGUGCUGUGACAAUAAAUAAUGUUAAAGAUUCUCUUUUGUUUCUUAAAAGUCGUUCAACAAUUGAGGGAAUCCUUGGAAAGGCCUCUUAACCUUUCAUCCAAAUGUACCAUUUAUAUUUGUUAUUUUAUCCUCACUUGAUAACGAGGUUGUCCUACUUUCAGGUGGAACUUUAGCCACAUGUUGGAUAUUUUGUAAUGUGCGCAAGUUGUAAGAGUUUAAGGAUAAUUUUUUUCUGUGUGUCUGGUGCAGGAGCACCUAACACAAAGGCACAAAAUGAGUCUAUAAGAGGAUAAAAAUCAAUUCAUAAGUAUAUUCAAUUACAUUUUCAUUUGUAAUGUCAUUUUGAGUCAAUAUAAAUCAAUAUGUAAGGCUAAAAGAGCCCAUUGUAAUGAGUUGUCCAAGUUGUCCUAAUAAGGUCUUGAAUUAGUCAUUUGGUAAAACUUGCAUAAAAUAACCUUUGAGGGGUAAAAUGGUGACAAAAAUACAUUAUUAUUCCAUCCUAAUAUGUUUUGAAGGUUCUUUUGAAGGUUUAAAGUCAUUUGAGUCAAAAGUUGUAAAAGUUGUAAAAUGCAACUUUUCAAAAGUUGUAUAAAGACCAAAAUGGGAAGUUGUAUGGUCAUAAGAGGAAGUUGGGUAGUUGUAACUUCCAUGUGAAGAUGAAAAGGCUAUAAAGGUUCUUUAAUGGUCGUUCAUAAGAGGAUGUAAAAGUUGGAGAAGGAAUUGGAAAGCAUUGGAAACAUUUUGGUA